rnacentral:rRNA from 1 species
GUUACCCUACGGGGGGCAGCAGUGGGGAAUAUUGCACAAUGGGGGAAACCCUGAUGCAGCGACGCCGCGUGAGUGAAGAAGUAUUUCGGUAUGUAAAGCUCUAUCAGCAGGGAAGAAAUACUGACCUUACGGUCGGCAGACGGUACCUGACUAAGAAGCCCCGGCUAACUACGUGCCAGCAGCCGCGGUAAUACGUAGGGGGCAAGCGUUAUCCGGAUUUACUGGGUGUAAAGGGAGCGU